UUGAAGUAGUUUCGAGGAAUAUUUCAAGGGUGCCUUUUGACAAGUGCUUUGUUCUGGACAAGUACUUUCUGGAUAGAAAAGGCGCUUCAAGUAGUUUUUGGACUACUUCCUUGGUGCUUUUUGAGGAAGUUCUGUUGAAGAAAUGCAAUUGUAGUAAUUCUGUAAUGUUUGGCUGAAAUGCAGUAUUAUUUCAUUUUAGUGUGUGUUUUUUCUUGACUAAUAGCCUUACUAUCAGUGGGUAAUCCUGAAAUAUUUCCACCUCAAAAGGAACACGGCUCCAAAUCAAUGCGUGACGUGUUACUCCCUUUCGAAUGUCGACAGGCUAAAAUAUCAUAUACCGGCAAGUUAAUGGUGAUGUUGAAUUUCAAUAUGAUGACUCUGCAGUUAUAAGAGAGAAAUUCAAUUUUGGGCAAUUUCCUAUAAUGUUAAAGUCUAAACGUUGUCAUCUACGAGAUGCUGAUCCCCAAAAAUUAAAAUCUUUCAAGGAGGAGGCAUCAGAAGUUGAUGGGUAAGUGAUUCAAUGUCUUCCAUAGUAAUCACAUAUAUGGUAUCCUUGUUUUACUGGUUUUUGUAUUUGGAUUUGAUUAUAUUGAACCUUUUCAUGACAUGGUG